ensembl:lncRNA
CUGACUGUGGCUAUUAUGAAAGUGCUGUAUCAACAAGAGCUCAGAAGAAAAUGUUUCAUUUCUCUGAUGUGCAAAUGACAGCACUGCGUGCAUACCCAUACUCUACCAGCACAAUUCAGUGAGUUAUAAGCCGAAUAACAACCCCUUACAACUCAUGGGGUUCUCCUUGUUUAAUAACCGUGUUGUUCUAAAACAACAAGCUUACGUCAGAUGAAAAAAAACACCAACAAAAAUUUCAAAGGACCAAAGAGAAGGAAGGAGAUGGAGGAGGCUGUGUGCCACAGGUAAGAUAUAUCUCGUAACAUGAGGUAGUAUUCAACCUCCCCUCCUGUUCUAUUGAAACAUUCUAGCAGAGCACACUGUGUUUGUGAAACCCCACGGAAUUCUAGAAGGCUGCAGAAAGCAUGUACGUGGCAAUGGUACAGGUGAUGACAUCAGCAUGGAUUUAUUUCUGUAUUGCAGAUAACUCCGUUAACAAGAAAUCAGCCAAAUACUGAAAUGUUUGUAGGCUUUUGUGGGAUUGGAAAUGGAGUACAGCAAAGAAUUGCUGGUUAAGCUGCACCUCAUAACAAAGUGGUCAAUAACUGAAAGCAGAGCUCUCCCCACAAACAACUUGCCUGCUUGAUUUGGAAGAUUAAGCAGAUUUGUAGGGAGUUCUCCACCAUUCCUGGACACAAUCCCAAUAACUGGACUACCGCCUGGCUGCUGUCAGCUUUUCCCCAGUCAGCAUCCGAGUGCUGCAAAUCUCAUCCUCUCAUUUCUGACUUCUCCGAAUCCCUAUACAGAGGACAUCAGAAGCAGAUUCAGCACCACAGAUUCCCAUUCUGGGAUUUAACUUUCAAUCCCUGUAUGAUUUAGGUCCUCUUUGAGUCUCAUCUGUGAAGUCCUUUGAAAAUCUGGCUCACUGCAAACCUUAAGAGCAUAUUGUGUACUACUGCCACUGGAAACCUCUCUGGGAACCCACUGGAAGCUGUUGAACACUCCUUGCACAGAUACAUUGGGCAAGCAUCUCAGCCGUGCUUACACCGCCUCUCAAAAGGAACACCAAAAUCUUACAGAUUUACUGGAGGAUACGGUCACUCUCUACUUUCUUUAAGUAAAAAUUCA